rnacentral:snRNA from 1 species
GGAUGUGAGGGUGAUCCUGCUGCGACAUCUGUCACCCCAUGGAUCACCAGGGUUGAUUCGGCUGAUCUGGCUGGCUAGGAGGGUGUCACGUUCUUCCCUUACAGCUCCAUGUGCACCCUCCCAAAGCUAUUUGCUCAGUGGAAGAGGACGGCCUUUCCUGAGUAGAGACUGACUGGUCUUUGGUCGCAGAUAUAUGAGUAGCUGUGCUUGCUGCCCUGCGAGAACCUCCAAACAAGCUUUCAAUUCUGACUUAUGUCUUUGUCUUCCAAAUAUAAGUGAAAUC